UACGUAGGGUGCGAGCGUUAAUCGGAAUUACUGGGCGUAAAGCGUGCGCAGGCGGUUGUGCAAGACAGGUGUGAAAUCCCCGGGCUUAACCUGGGAACUGCACUUGUGACUGCACGGCUAGAGUACGGCAGAGGGGGAUGGAAUUCCGCGUGUAGCAGUGAAAUGCGUAGAUAUGCGGAGGAACACCGAUGGCGAAGGCAAUCCCCUGGGCCUGUACUGACGCUCAUGCACGAAAGCGUGGGGAGCAAACAGG
rnacentral:rRNA from 1 species